CGAUCGUGGUAUUGGCCUCGAAGUUGGGAGCUUCGUCCCCGAGAAGGAGCCCUCCGGGCAUGGCGGCACCGGUGACGAGAGGACGAGCAGGCGCAGCCGCAGCAGAAUGAACCGCUGGCGGGGACCGAGAGAAGAAAGGCCACAUGAAGUCAUCGAGGAGGUGUUGAUCCCCGUCCAGCAAGGUCAACUGAACCCAAGCCGCUCGUGUGAAUUCGGGGUGAUGCAAAAUACCACGCAGACACGGAGCACCUUUUUAUUUCUCACAAAGUUGCUGAGGUUGCCUUUGAACUUGUGAUCCUCCUGUCUCAGCCUCCCAAGCCACUGAGAUUACAGUAUGUUUGUCUGAAGUGGGUCAGUGGGUCUGGGUAACCUGGCACCUGGACCAGCAGAAGCUCCACCUACCUCUUGCUGUGGCACCGCCUGGAACACCCUCUUCAUCAUACAACAGGGAAGAAAGUACCUGAGUGCACCACACUGGCCGUUAAGUGCUCUGCCUGGGAUGCUACUUGUCACUUCCACUCACCAACCAUGAGCAGAAACUGGACUCAGGGCCUUGCUGUUAGGGGGAGAGCUGCUUCCCUCGGUCACACUCUUCUGCCAGGAUGUUGUGCCUCUCCUUGAGCCCCAAGGAAUGGAACCGGCUCUCUAGGACUGAGCCCCCUGAAACCCUCCUCAGAUCAAGUCCGAAGUCCUUCACUGAGAACAAAAGUCCCUUCAGGACAGCUUCUCGGGGCCACGGCUCUCCUUGACAUCCUGCUCUCUGUCCAUCAGCGGUUCCUGACGCCUCCGCACACAGCAAGAAUGUAAAAAAGUGGAGAGAAUGUGAUUAAAGAAGAAGAAGAAGAAGAAGGAGG